rnacentral:rRNA from 1 species
GACGAACGCUGGCGGCGUGCUUAACACAUGCAAGUCACGGGGGCCCGCAAGGGCAACCGGCGAACGGGUGCGUAACACGUGAGCAACUUACCGAUUUGUGGGGGAUAGCCUGCCUAACGGCAGGGUAAUACCGCAUACGCUCUUUGGGUGGAGUCACCUGAAGAGGAAACCUCCGGGGCAAAUCGAGGGGCUCGCGGCCUAUCAGCUAGUUGGUGCGGGUAAUGGCCCACCAAGGCGACGACGGGUAGCUGGUCUGAGAGGAUGGCCAGCCACAUUGGGACUGAGAAACGGCCCAGACUCCUACGGGAGGCAGCAGUGGGGAAUCUUGCGCAAUGGACGAAAGUCUGACGCAGCGACGCCGCGUGUGGGAGGAAGCUCUUCGGGUGUAAAGCUCUGUCGGCUGGGACGAAAAAAUGACGGUACCAGCAAAGGAAGCAUCGGCUAACUACGUGCCAGCAGCCGCGGUAAU